rnacentral:lncRNA from 1 species
CUUCUCCAAGUCGAUAAGCACCAUGUGCAUGUCCUUUUUCUUAUCCCUGAACUGCUUCACCAGCCUCCUGACAAGGUGGAUAGCUUCUGUAGUGGAGCGACCCGGCAUGAAACCGAACUGGUUCACAGAUACAGAUGUCAUUUCCCUCACCCUUGCCUCGAUCACCCGCUCCCUGACCUUCACGGUGUGACUAAUUAAUUUGAUACCCCUAUAGUUGUUGUAGCACUGGAUGUCCCAUUUGUUCUUGUACAAGGGCACCACUGUACUCCACCUCAACUCCUCCGGCAUCCUUUUGGUCCUGAAGAUCGCAUUGAAC